rnacentral:rRNA from 1 species
AAAUAGAUACCCCGGUAGUCCACGCCGUAAACGAUGAGUGCUAAGUGUUAGAGGGUUUCCGCCCUUUAGUGCUGCAGCUAACGCAUUAAGCACUCCGCCUGGGGAGUACGGCCGCAAGGCUGAAACUCAAAGGAAUUGACGGGGGCCCGCACAAGCGGUGGAGCAUGUGGUUUAAUUCGAAGCAACGCGAAGAACCUUACCAGGUCUUGACAUCCUCUGAAAACCCUAGAGAUAGGGCGUUCCCCUUCGGGGGACAGAGUGACAGGUGGUGCAUGGUUGUCGUCAGCUCGUGUCGUGAGAUGUUGGGUUAAGUCCCGCAACGAGCGCAACCCUUGAUCUUAGUUGCCAGCAUUUAGUUGGGCACUCUAAGGUGACUGCCGGUGACAAACCGGAGGAAGGUGGGGAUGACGUCAAAUCAUCAUGCCCCUUAUGACCUGGGCUACACACGUGCUACAAUGGAUGGUACAAAGAGCUGCAAACCCGCGAGGGUAAGCGAAUCUCAUAAAGCCAUUCUCAGUUCGGAUUGUAGG